UACCUUGAUGAAGAAACAGUAUCAAUGCCAAAAUAAGGGUUCAUCAGUGGGAACGAUUAGGACACCUAAUAUGGAGACAUUAGCAAUGUCAAAACAAAGGCAUAGUGGUGGCUAUGAUUCCAUACAGGUGGUGACAGAAAUGAGCAGAAAAAAAUGAAGGAGAUUUUGUUUGGCAGUGAUUUUAUUACAAGAUCAACCCUGAAAAAGGAGAGAAGUUCCAAAGAAAAUCUCCGAAUAGACUAAACUGAAAACUUUUAGUGAGGAAAGACUUGAAAGAAGGAGCCUUCUUUAAGUCCUGGCUUAAAUCCUACCUUCUACAACAACCCUUUCCGGAUCCACCUUAUUGUUUGGAAACAUCAUGGAUCAAUACAACUGUUUCCCCACUCUAAGCACAACAGUAUAUUGAAAUCUGCACUUACGCAACAGGGAUGUGGAAUGGAUCAGGGGUUCAAACAGACAAGAACCUUAGAUUCUGGGUCCCAUCAGGCCUCCUGACUUUACUCAUCCUGAACCAUCGCUUCCAAAACAGUACCAUCUCAGAGGACAUUGACACAGCAGUCAAGUUCAGUGGGACUGGAGUUGCCACUGUGGGAGUAGCUGGCUCUGGGGCCGGUAUUGGGGCUGCAUUGGGGACUUUCAUCAUUGGUUAUGCCAGGAACCCCUCCUUGAAGCAGCAGCUCCUCUCCAAUGCUAUCCUUGGUUUUGCUGUGUCUGAGGCCAUAGGAAUUGUUUUUUUUUACAUGGUGGUGGUCUUCCUCACUCUCUUCAACAUGCAAAGUAGCUGUUUCUGCUCAUCGCCAUUUCUCCUGCUCCUCCUAUGUCUUGUCUACCCUGUAGGUGCCUUCCCCUUUUCCUCUCCAGAUAGCCCUGGGUAAAGCCCCUGGCUCUGGGUUUGACAGAAGGAAGACAAAUAAAUUCUAUAAGCUGUUAAAAAAAUCGUGACCACUGUCAUGCCACAAGGAGACAUUAAAUAUACCACUUUAGUGGAGGGUUAUAUCAAUAAGCCAAGAAUCUGUAUAAGUUAUUAACUAUAUUCAGAACUAAGAAAUGAAGAAGAUCAAAGACUUGUAGGCCACAUAUAAGUCUUAAGUUUACAUGACAUGAAUAUGCCCAUUUUCCUAGCUUGUCAAAUCUAUCCCUCUACCUAACCUUGUUACUUCUUUUGAGGGUACCACAAUCUUUCCCGUCACAGGUUUGUGACUUCAUAGUCAUGACUGAUUCUGAUUCUUCACUUUACCUCAAUUUCAUCACUCCAUAUCUAACCUGUUGCCAAGACUUGCCCAUUCUACCUUCAUACCAUCUCUGUCAUUUGUCUUUUCUCCACUCUGCUAAAAUUCUAGUUCAGGCUUUUACAUUUCUGGUCUGAAUGAUAUAUUGUGUAGUCUACUAAUUGGUCCCCUAUCUUCCAGUCUCUUCCCCCUCUAAUCCAUAUUUCACUCAGUUGCCAAACUGAUAUUCUUAAAGCUUUCAGACCUAACUGAUUAAUAACAAUUCAUACCACCCCCCCAAUUGUACUCAAUAAGCUUCGGUGGCUGCUAAAUCUAUAUCCCAAAGAUGUAAAAAAGGAGGGGGGAAGGAUCUAUUUAUGCAAAAGUAUUUGUAGCAGUUCUU